ACGCACGCUGGCGGCGUGCUUAACACCUGCAAGUCGAACGGAAAGGCCCUGCUUUUGUGGGGUGCUCGAGUGGCGAACGGGUGAGUAACACGUGAGUAACCUGCCCUUGACUUUGGGAUAACUUCAGGAAACUGGGGCUAAUACCGGAUAGGAGCUCCUGCUGCAUGGUGGGGGUUGGAAAGUUUCGGCGGUUGGGGAUGGACUCGCGGCUUAUCAGCUUGUUGGUGGGGUAGUGGCUUACCAAGGCUUUGACGGGUAGCCGGCCUGAGAGGGUGACCGGCCACAUUGGGACUGAGAUACGGCCCUGACUCCUACGGGAGGCAGCAGUGGGGAAUAUUGCACAAUGGGCGGAAGCCUGAUGCAGCAACGCCGCGUGCGGGAUGACGGCCUUCGGGUUGUAAACCGCUUUCGCCUGUGACGAAGCGUGAGUGACGGUAAUGGGUAAAGAAGCACCGGCUAACUACGUG
rnacentral:rRNA from 1 species